UUUGUGGUUUUUCACCAACCGCUCGACCCCCGCCGCCGCCCCUUCUGGCCAGGUGCUCGACCCCCCGCCGCCGCGCGGCUGCCCCUUCUGGCCAAAGGCUCAACCCCCCGCCUCCGUGCCUGCUCGGCCCCGCCUCCGUGCCUGCUCGGCCCCGCCGCCGCGCCUGCUCGCCAGCCGCUCAGCCCCUUCACGCCCCCGACACCCUCCGCUUUCCUGGGGCUGACACGCCGCCGUGAGCAUAGGCUGCAGCACGCCCCCGACCGACGCCGGCGUCCGAGCGGCACCUCCGCCGCAGGGGGUCCGGGCCGUGGCAGCACGCCCCCGGGCGCCGACGAAGGUUGACACGGCGAUAGUUCGUCAGUUCCUCUCGCCAAAACAGGUAACCUCUCCGCAGCAGAGGAGGAUACAUCCUCAAGCCCUAUAUCUUUGUGCACCUUAAGCACCUGGAAGCCAAUACGGCGAGCCACUUAGAUCCCCUCCUCCCGGUGAGCCAUCCUUGACAUUGAUUCAGUCUUGUUGAUGACGUACGAGUAGCACAGUGAUUCAUAUUGUUGAUGUCCAAUAUUCAUUCUUCUUGAUAUGCAAAUUUAGUGUAUGUGCUGUCCAAAUUUCAGUGUUUUGUGGUCCAAAAAUUCAGUGUAUGUGUUGUCCAAAUUUCAGUGUUCUGUUGUCCAAAUAUUCAGUUUUGGUGUUAUCCAAAUUUCAGUGCAUAUGCAGUCUAAAUUUUAGUUUAUAUGCUGUCCAAAUUUCAGUGUACUUCCCCUGCUAUUUUACUGCCAUUUAUCAAAUGGCUUGCUGCCUUUCAUCAAGUGAUUACAGUGCACCAUGGUUGGCUUUAACCCUUAGUUCUCUUCUGUUUUCCUAGGCACCCACGAGCUGGCCUUGUUGCAAGGAUGAAUCUGCUUAUCUCGUAAUCAAUGGAACAAAAUGUACUGAGUAUUUACUAUUACUACUGAAAUACUACUACUUUUUUGCAAAUUACAGAAAUACUACUAUAUAUGAUUUGGGAAAAAUAAUCGGGUCUCUCAUUCAGUUUAGUCCACCUAAUUUUUUUUCUUUGUAGCUCCGCCACCAAAAGAUAGGCCCCGUUUUAAAUUCUGGGCACAGGGCCUCUGAUAUUGUUGGCCCGGCCCUGUCCGUGAAUAAUUCCCUUGCCAAUUCAAUUAUUAUCUAUGUUGGUUAUAGAGCAUUAGAUCAAUUAAUUGGAAGGAUAUAGACACACUCUGUACGUACAAGCUAGCUAGCUAGCUACUACAAGCAGCUUGAUUGAUUGUUUUAUGAGAAGCUUCCUGCGUCUUCGUUCUAUUAAAACUUUGGACCAGUUUAUAAGAUACCAAAUGUUGGACAGUAUACAUCUAUUUCAUAUCAAUGUUUGCUACCGACAUACGUAGUUGUGAUAGUUAACAUUUCCUGCUCCAUAUUGUUUCUUCUGUUGACAAAUCCAGAGCAAUAUAUCAUAUCAUUCCCUAUUUAUGUUAAGAAUAUGGUCUUCAUGAAACAAGGAUUGUAAGGGUUUCUUACUAGCUGAUCCAGUGAAGUCUUGUUGGUGUGCUUUCUUUAAAUGAAUUUUAAACACUACAUACUGGUGCUAUUGCUCUUGUUAUAAAAUUGGUCUACAUUCUAGAAAACUUUAUUCUAUGGAUGCUGCCUGAUGUGAUUGUCUUUUUAGUACUGUCCGAAACCUUUCAUAUAAACAAAGUGGAGAUUACACAUCUGUUUUGGACCUAGAGCCAUAUUCAUUGCCAAUAAGAGCAGCUUCUGCAUGGUAUGUGAUACUCUUCCUCUCAGGCAUGUUUUCUUUUCAGCAUAAUCAUCUCCCAGUGAGUUGUAUUUUCUUUUCUCCAAUGAGGGUCUGCUGCAUGACCAAUUCAUUUCUCUGUUCUAUCUGAUUGGUGAUGACUUUCUGAUAAUUUGUAUGUCUUUUUGGACUGGUCAUUAGUUUUUGAAAUUAGAUACUUUUGUUAAUUGCAAGAGAGAUAAUUGUGAUCAUUUUCCUAUUGUGUGUACUCUAUUCUACGUAAUCAGAUUCUCAAAGGUGUGUUGCCAUCGAAGGUGAAGACUAGAUGUUCUACUCUUGUGCCUGAACAAUCUGUAGUUGGCAGCAAGUUUUUUCUUAACAGUGUUCAAUCAACUUGCCCAUGUUGUAUAUACAAUAUAUACAAUUCCAUAAAACUUGCUUAUAUGUUUUUUCUUUUUGUAAAAAUGCAUCGGCUCACGGUCACUGAAUAAUUAGGUUUCAGAUUAUGUAGUUUUCUGCAGGUUGUCAGAUAAACUCUUCCAGAGAUUGAGAUCUAAUCACAACAGCUUUGAGUCCUUUACCUUUUUAUUUUGCAAAAUGCGAUCAGAAGUAGUUUUCAUCUCUAAUGGUAAUGAAUAGAUUCUCAAAAAAGCAAAUUAAUUGGAAUGAUCUGCUUAGCAUGUCCCAUGACUUCAAAAGGAAUAAUUUGACUAAACUGAGAUGUUGAUCAGCAGUGAAAAGAUAGACAAAAUCAAAGACUGGGGACCUACGAUUGUCCUGUAACCCCCUUUGUCAACACUUCGUGAGUUCAUGAUACACUCUUAGUUUAAUAAUUGAUUGAACAGUGACAGUUAGUGUUAUGCUUAUAAGUUGGUAUCCCCAAGUACUGUCUGUUGUAUAUGCUGUGUAUUAUUACCUCCUUCAAAUUGAAAUGUUGUUCUAAUAAAAAUACAACAUGACCAAGACUGUACUUGUUAUUGCAAAUUGUUGGUGAUGCUAAAUAACUAUGGGCUCAGGAUCAAGGCUGUACUUGUUAUUGCAAAUGAGUUAUUGCUUUGUAUUUUUACAUGCCGGCGGUUGGUAGGUGAUAAUAAUUUCUGCAUGUCUACACAUAGUUUAUUCAUCCCACUGGAAAAAGCACCAAGAAUGUUGUGUGCAGAGAUGUCUUGGAGGGACAACACAUGUUUGUUUUCCAUACAUGCCAAUCCACCUUAUUAUAUUAGGACAUAUUACUCAUCUCUAAUAUUGUUUUUUUUCUAAUUUAUGUACAUAUUAUGCAUACAAUGAUGAGCUGUUCUAUUAGGAUAAUUAAAUUAGGGAGUCUUACUAAAUAAUAGUAUAAAGAUGGUACUGAAGGAGGCUUUGCAACUAGCAAGGUAAUCUGUUUACAAUCCGACUGUGAUAUUUAUUAAAAGAUAUAUGGAUGUUGUGUUCUCUCAGACAAUAUAAAGCAUGCUUCUACAUUCUCUGCUAAAUUUGCAACUUUCAAUGUUUUGUGGGGCCUUUCCUCUCAACUGUAGGGAUUUUACCUCCCUGAUUUUUCUGUGUGUGACUCUAGCUAUUUUACUUCAUUUAUGUUGUUUGUUUUGUCAAUUUUGUUGAAGUUACUGCAGUUGACUGCUCUGAAUUGUUGAUCGUCCACCUUGAAGGUUAUAAUUGCUAAAGAAGCAGAAGGAGAUUUUGAAUAUUUGGUCCGACAACUUCCACCUGAUCAGUUUGAGAAUAAAAGCAGAAGAAUGCAUCCAGCGAGCAAUGAUUAAGCAUAUUCAUCAAAUAAAGCAUUAAAUAUACAAAGGUCUCCACAAGGUUUGCAUAAGAAGCUCUGAUCGCGUGCAAGAUUGGAGCGCCCUGUGCAAUUCCUCGACUAUUUGACACAGCGAGCGUCGAACGGGAGAGUUCUGAGAGGAGGCACGUCCACCAGGUGCAUCUCCUUCGUUUGGCCAAGGCCACCAGUGAAUAACAGUUGUGGAACCGCAUCAUUCACUUGCCUACCAUAGAUUGACGGGCGCUCCGCUCCACUACUCCAUCUCAUGUUGUAUAUUUCCUCUCUUUAUAUCAAAUAAAGUAUAGCAUGUAAAUAUGUUUAAAUUUAGAAAUAAUGUUUUCCCUUCUAUCUUCACUUAUACUGUUAGAAAAAUGUAACUAAAUUAAGUGGAUGCUCUUAUUUGAAGCCAGAUUAUAGGAUUAUUCCUCUGGUGUUAUUGAUGGUUUGAUCUAGAA